UGGGAGUCUACACCUCCGGGUCAAGGAGGUGUGGCGUACGGCUGAGUAACACGUGGCUAACCUGCCCUCAGGACGGGAAUAACCCCGGGAAACUGGGGAUAAUUCCCGAUAGGUGAGGGGUACUGGAAGGUCCCCUCGCCGAAAGGCCCUUGGGCUACUGUCCAAGGGUGCCUCAGGAUGGGGCUGCGGCCCAUCAGGUAGUUGGAAGGGUAAAGGCCUUCCAAGCCUAUAACGGGUAGGGGCCGUGAAAGCGGGAGCCUCCAGAUGGGCACUGAGACAAGGGCCCAGGCCCUACGGGGUGCACCAGGCGCGAAACGUCCACAAUGCGCGUUUGCGUGAUGGCGCUACUCCGAGUGCCUCGUUAGAGGCUUUUCCCCACUCUAAAAAGGUGGGGGAAUAAGCGGGGGGCAAGACUGGUGUCAGCCGCCGCGGUAAUACCAGCUCCGCGAGUGGUCUGGGCUUUUAUUGGGCCUAAAGCGCCCGUAGCCGGCCCGGUAAGUUCGUGUCUAAAGGCCGGGGCUCAACCUCGGAAAUGGUGCGAAUACUGCCGGGCUAGGGGGCGAGAGAGGCUGGGAGUACUCCUGGAGUAGGGGCGAAAUCCGUAGAUCCCAGGAGGACUACCAGUGGCGAAGGCGCCCAGCUAGAGCGCGCCCGACGGUGAGGGGCGAAAGCCGGGGCAGCAAACCGGAUUAGAUACCCGGGUAGUCCCGGCCGUAAACUAUGCGGGCUAUGUGUCAGGUGGGCUUGGAGUCCACCUGGUGCAACAGGGAAGUCCUUUAAGCCCGCCGCCUGGGGAGUACAGCCGCAAGGCCGAAACUUAAAGGAAUUGGCGGGGGAGCA
rnacentral:rRNA from 1 species